rnacentral:rRNA from 1 species
UGAGCGAACCAAUAAGAAGCUUGCUUUUUGUUGGUUAGCGGCGGACGGGUGAGUAACACGUGGGUAACCUGCCUGUAAGACCGGGAUAACUCCGGGAAACCGGUGCUAAUACCGGAUAGAUUAUCUUUCCACCUGGAGAGAUAAGGAAAGAUGGCUUUUGCCAUCACUUACAGAUGGGCCCGCGGCGCAUUAGCUAGUUGGUGAGGUAACGGCUCACCAAGGCGACGAUGCGUAGCCGACCUGAGAGGGUGAUCGGCCACACUGGGACUGAGACACGGCCCAGACUCCUACGGGAGGCAGCAGUAGGGAAUCUUCCGCAAUGGACGAAAGUCUGACGGAGCAACGCCGCGUGAGCGAAGAAGGUCUUCGGAUCGUAAAGCUCUGUUGUUAGGGAAGAACAAGUAUCGGAGGAAAUGCCGGUACCUUGACGGUACCUGACGAGAAAGCCACGGCUAACUACGUGCCAGCAGCCGCGGUAAUACGUAGGUGGCAAGCGUUGUCCGGAUUUAUUGGGCGUAAAGCGCGCGCAGGCGGUCCUUUAAGUCUGAUGUGA